GAAAGGGAAAAGGACUCGCGAAGGCUGGAUUCGGACUCCGGGAUAGUACCAACUUGUGAUGGUCACCACGGUCGCAUACGGACUCAGAUGGAGGCGUUCAAGUACUUCACGGAUUCUCUAUGAAGUCUAUUUUCAUAUGAAUCUAGACUCAAGUCCAUAUCUGGUCUGAGGCGGUCGCAAUGACUAAUUUACUACCGAUAGGUUGCAACAAUUAAGACAAGGUGCUAAAAG
rnacentral:lncRNA from 1 species